CCAAUGAUUGGGAACCAGUUGAGGGUUGAUAGAUCUCCUGGUUGCUAAAAUCAAAUACCCAUCUUUGUGCACCUUUUUUUAUGUCUCUGGUGGUUCGCAAGAAGAAGUCUCUUAUUUGGAGGAUCUCUUCUAGUUCAUUUUGAUCCUCGGACAAAUGAAUGAAGCCACCAAAUGGUUGCUAUAACACACUUUUUUGCCGUCCAAAAUAUCUGUCUAAACAUUGAUUUGUGUAAAAUACAUAUAAAA
rnacentral:misc_RNA from 1 species